CCCUUUGUACACACCGCCCGUCGCUACUACCGAUUGAAUGGCUCAGUGAGGCUUUCGGACUGGCCCAGAGAGGUUGGCAACGACCACUCAGGGCCGGAAAGUUAUCCAAACUCGGUCAUUUAGAGGAAGUAAAAGUCGUAACAAGGUCUCCGUUGGUGAACCAGCGGAGGGAUCAUUACAGAGUUUACAUACUCCAAAACCCUUUGUCUAUCUACCAAAAACGUUGCUUCGGCAGGCGACCCCAGGGCGGGGUCGUUGGGUGCCUGCCGGAGGUUUUUUUUCAAACUCCUGUUUUUAUAAACUUGAAUCUCUGAGUACCUAUUGUAAUAAGUUAAAACUUUCAACAACGGAUCUCUUGGUUCUGGCAUCGAUGAAGAACGCAGCGAAAUGCGAUAAGUAAUGUGAAUUGCAGAAUUCAGUGAAUCAUCGAAUCUUUGAACGCACAUUGCGCCCGCCAGUAUUCUGGCGGGCAUGCCUGUUCGAGCGUCAUUACAACCCUCAAGCUCAGCUUGGUGUUGGGGACCUACGGCUCGCCGUAGGCCCCGAAAUUCAGUGGCGGGCUCGCCGUAGACCCGAGCGCAGUAGUAACAUCUCGCUUGCGGACUACCGGUGGGUGCUUGCCGUUAAACCCCCAACUUAAAACGUUUGACCUCGGAUCAGGUAGGAAUACCCGCUGAACUUAAGC
rnacentral:rRNA from 1 species